rnacentral:rRNA from 1 species
GACGAACGCUGGCGGCGUGCUUAACACAUGCAAGUCGAGCGGUAAGGCUCCUUCGGGAGUACACGAGCGGCGAACGGGUGAGUAACACGUGAGUAAUCUGCCCUUCACUUCGGGAUAACCACCGGAAACGGUGGCUAAUACCGAAUACGACCAGUCUUCGCAUGAGGUGCUGGUGGAAAGUCUUUUCGGUGAAGGAUGUGCUCGCGGCCUAUCAGCUUGUUGGUGGGGUAAUGGCCUACCAAGGCCUCGACGGGUAGCCGGCCUGAGAGGGUGACCGGCCACACUGCGACUGAGACACGGCCCAGACUCCUACGGGAGGCAGCAGUGGGGAAUAUUGGACAAUGGGCGAAAGCCUGAUCCAGCAACGCCGCGUGAGGGAUGACGGCCUUCGGGUUGUAAACCUCUUUCAGUACCGACGAAGCGCCCUGUCGGGUGGUGACGGUAGGUACAGAAGAAGGACCGGCCAACUACGUG